rnacentral:rRNA from 1 species
CCUGGGGCAUGUCUAGUACGGCGAGUGAACAGGCAAGAGCUCAGAUUUGAAAGGCACUUUUGUGCCGUUGUAUUCUGAAGUUAGGGUCCUGAGAAACGAUGCUUAAGUCUUCUGGAAAGGAGCGCCAUGGAGGGUGAUAGCCCCGUCUAGCAUUGACCUCAUAUAGGAUCUUAACAUGGAGUCGAGUUGUUUGGGAAUGCAGCUCAAAUGGGUGGUAUGCUCCAUCUAAAGCUAAAUAUCUGCGAGAGACCGAUAGUAAACAAGUACUGUGAGGGAAAGAUGAAAAGAACUUUGAAAAGAGAGUGAAAAAGUACGUGAAAUUGUUGAAAUGGAAGGGUAGGCCGCUAACCAUGUAGAGCCGUGUUUGGGGGGAAGAUAAAUGCUGUAGAAUGUAGCUCCUCGGAGUAUUAUAGAUGCAGUUCAUAUUCCCACCCGAGCGCGAGGAUCUCAGGUUCUACUAAAUGGUGGUCUACCACCCGUCUUGAACCCACGGACCA